ACUCUGUCCCACAGACCUACCGAUGUCCCCACACUCUGUCCCACAGACCUACCGAUGUCCCCACACUCUGUCCCAUAAACCUACCGAUGUCCCCACACUCUGUCCCAUAAACCUACUGAGAAACGAAGUUCAAACCACAUUUAAGUGGAUCUCACAUUUCCAGCCAUUUCUGAGAAGCACAGCGAGUGACUUUGCCGUUCCACUCUGGGUGCCAUUCCACUGAGUGGGUUGUGUGGGGUGACUAUCCCUAUGUUUAGCAAAGCACAUGUCAUCCAACAUCACACUCAACCACACCUGUGGAGAGGAGAGGAGGCAAGCUAGCAGCGCAUGUUGCCUUGGCAACGCUGAGAGCAGAGGGUCACUUCUAAUUAAAACAGAGAGGCAAUUAGAGAGGAACUGGGUGGCUGUUACCACAACCUCCUGGUUUAAUGGAGACAGACGGUAGAGCUGUGUCUGUGUGAGGAAGAAGGAAACUUCUGGCUGAGUCGCAUCUAGCCAGUAUGCUCGGGUCCUGGCUAAGAGUCCCAUCUAGCCAGUCUGCUCGGGUCCUGGCUAAGAGUCGCAUCUAGCCAGUCUGCUCGGGUCCUGGCUAAGAGUCCCAUCUAGCCAGUCUGCUCGGGUCCUGGCUGAGAGUCCCAUCUAGCCAGUCUGCUCGGGUCCUGGUUGAGAGUCCCAUCUAGCCAGUCUGAUCGGGUCCUGGCUGAGAGUCCCAUCUAGCCAGUCUGCUCGGGUCCUGGCCGAGAGUCCCAUCUAGCCAGUCUGUACUGGUCCUGGCUGAGAGUCCCAUCUAACCAGUCUGCUCGGGUCCUGGCUGAGAGUCCCAUCUAGCCAGUCUGCUUGGGUCCUGGCUGAGAGUCCCAUCUAGCCAGUCUGCUCGGGUCCUGGCUGAGAUUCCCAUCUAGCCAGUCUGCACUGGUCCUGGCUGGGAGUCCCAUCUAACCAGUCUGCUCGGGUCCUGGCUAAGAGUUCCAUCUAACCAGUCUGCUCGGGACCUGGCUGAGAGUCCCAUCUAGCCAGUCUGCUCGGGUCCUGGCUGAGAGUCCCAUCUUGCCAGUCUGCUCGGGUCCUGGCUGAGAGUCCGCGCGGGUCCUGGCUGAGAGUCCCAUCUAGCCAGUCUGCUCGGGUCCUGGCUGAGAGUCCCAUCUAGCCAGUCUGCUCGGGUCCUGGCUGAGAGUCCCAUCUAGCCAGUCUGCUUGGGUCCUGGCCGAGAGUCCCAUCUAGCCAGUGAGACAGGUGGGCACAAGGCAGUAAGCAGCCGUGCUUCACAUCUCACAAGAUUACUACAGCAUGUCAUAUUGAUGUGGUUCUGGAGACGUUAAACGCGGUCAGAUCUGAUCGCCUGUAUGCGUUUCCUAAGUCUGUCUUUAUCUCCAAGACUGUAUUGACGCUUUGCCUAUUUGAUGGUUCGACGCAGGGCAUAGCGAGAUUUCUUAUAAGCUUCCGGGUUAAGAGUCCCGCACCUUGAAAGCGGCAGCUCUACCCUUCAGCUCAGUGCGAAUGUUACCUGAAGUCCAUGGCUUCUGGUUGCGGUAUGUACGUACAGUCACUGUGGGGACGACGUCCUCAAUGCACUACUUGAUAAAGCCAGUGACUGAUGUGGUGUAUUCCACAAUGCCAUCGGUAGAAUCCCGGAACAUGUUCCAGUCUGUGUUAGCAAAACAGUCCUGUAGUUUAGCAUCAGCUUCAUCUGACCACUUUUUUAUAGACCGAGUCACUGGUGCUUCCUGCUUUAAUUUUUGCUUGUAAGCAGGAAUCAGGAGGAUAGAGUUGUGGUGGGAUUUACCAAAUGGAGGGCGAGGGAGAGCUUUGUACGCGUCUCUGUGUGUGGUGAUCAGGUGAUCUAGAUUUUUUCUCUCUCUCUGGUUGCACAUUUAACAUGUUGAUGGAAAUUUGGUAGAACUGAUUACAGUUUCCCCACAUUAAAGUCUCUGGCCACUAGGAGCGCCGCCUCUGGGUGAGUGGUUUCCUGUUUACUUAUUCCCUUAUACAGCUGACUGAGUGAGGUCUUAGUGCCAGCAUCUGUCUGUGGUGGUAAAUAUACAGCCACGAAAACUAUAGCUUUAAAACUCUCUAGGCAAGUAGUGUGGCUUGCAAUUUAUCACAAUAUACUCUACUUCAGGCGAGCAGAAUCUAGAGACUUCAUUAGAUUUCGUGCACCAGCUGUUUACAAAUACGCCCCCCUCGUUUUACCGGACUGUGCUGUUCUAUCUUUCCGGUGCAGCGUAUAUCCAUGUCGUCAUUCAGUCACUAUUCCGUGAAACAUAGGAUAUUAGUUUUUGAUGUCCCGUUGGUAGGAUAUUCGUGAUCGUACCUCGCCUAAUUUAUUGUCCAACGAUUGCACGUUGGCGAGUAGUAUUUAAGGUAAUGGCAGCUUUCCCACGCACCUUCUGCGGAUCCUCACAAGGCAUCCUGCUCGGUGUCCUCUGUACCUGCGUCUCUUCCUCUUGCAAAUAACGGGGGGGGGGAUGUUGGCCUUGUCGGGGGUUCGGAGAAUGUCCUGUUGCGUCUGCUUGUUGAAGAAAAAAAAUCUUUGUCUAAUCCGAGGUGAGUGAUCGCUGUCCUGAUAUCCAGAAGCUCUUUGUCUAAUCCGAGGUGAGUGAUCGCUGUCCUGAUAUCCAGAAGCUGUCUAAUCCGAGGUGAGUGAUCGCUGUCCUGAUAUCCAGAAGCUCUUUGUCUAAUCCGAGGUGAGUGAUCGCUGUCCUGAUAUCCAGAAGCUCUGUCUAAUCCGAGGUGAGUGAUCGCUGUCCUGAUAUCCAGAAGCUCUUUGUCUAAUCCGAGGUGAGUGAUCGCUGUCCUGAUAUCCAGAAGCUCUUUGUCUAAUCCGAGGUGAGUGAUCGCUGUCCUGAUGUCCAGAAGCUCUUUGUCUAAUCCGAGGUGAGUGAUCGCUGUCCUGAUAUCCAGAAGCUCUUUUUUUGCCGUAAAAUACAGUUGCAGAAACAUUAUGUACAAAAUAAGUUACAAAUAACGCGAGAGAAAAAAACACAUAACAGCACAAUUGGUUGGGCGCAAGUAAAAUUGCUGCCAUUACUUCCGGCGCCAUUUUUAAGUUCCAGAGUGAGUGUGAGUGUGUGUGAGUAUGUGCGUUCAUUCCCAGUGUCU